UACGGAGGGUGCGAGCGUUAAUCGGAAUUACUGGGCGUAAAGGGUGCGUAGGUGGUUUAAUAAGUUAGCUGUGAAAUUCCUGGGCUCAACCUGGGCAGGUCAGCUAAGACUGUUAGACUGGAGUAUAGGAGAGGGUAGUGGAAUUUCCGGUGUAGCGGUGAAAUGCGUAGAGAUCGGAAGGAACACCAGUGGCGAAGGCGGCUACCUGGCCUGAUACUGACACUGAGGCACGAAAGCGUGGGGAGCAAACAGG
rnacentral:rRNA from 1 species